AAACUAACUCCAAAUGAGAUUCUGAAUACGCCAAUGAGAUUUUAGAGGUUUUAUAUUUGUUUUGCAGCUUGUAAAACAAGAUUUAAGGCUGGUUGUCGAAAGAUUAUUGGGGUCGAUGGAUGUUGGAUGAAGAAUACUAUGUAUGUGGCACAAUUGCUAUCAACUGUUACUUUGGAUGGAAAUAAUAACAUCUUUUCAAUGGCUUAUGCAAUAGCCAAGAAAGAAAAUAAGGAAAUAUGGCAAUAGUUCUUAACCUACUUGAUGAAUGAUCUUGAGAUUGAAGAGCAAUACUUGUGGACUUUUAUGUCAGAUAAGCAAAAAGGGCUCAUUGAAGCUUUUGAUUUAGUGUUGCCUGGUGUUUCUCAUAGAUUUUGUGUGCGACAUUUGCAUAGCAAUUUCAAGAGAGCUGGAUAUUCUGGAAUGGCUUUAAAAAAUGCUCUUUGGAAGGCAACUUCAACAACAACUAUUGACAGGUUUGAUGCUUGUAUGACUGAUUUGUUUGAAUUAGAUAAAGAUGCUUAUGCAUGGCUUUCUGCUAAAGUGCCUAGUGAAUGGUCAAGAUCACAUUUCUCGUCUCUUCCUAAAUGUGACAUUCUUUUGAACAACUAAUGUGAGGUUUUUAAUAAGUUUAUUCUUGAUGCAAGAGAUAAAUCAAUUGUUAAACUUCUGGAGACCAUUAGGCACUUACUCAUGACAAGAAUUAAUUCUAAUAGGGAGAAAGCUGAAAAAUGGAACUUGAAUGAUAUUUGUCCUACUAUUAAGAAGAAGUUGGUCAAAACUAUGAAGAAAGUUGCUGAUUAUAUUCCCAAAAGGUCGAACAUGUGGAACUAUGAGGUAAUUGGGCCGGUCGAAGGUGAUAAUUGUGUUGUUGACUUAUAUAACAGAACCUGUAGUUGUAGGCAAUGGGAAUUAUCAGGAGUUCCUUGUAAACAUGCUAUAUCCUCGAUUUGGUUGAAAAAUGAUGAGGUUUUAAACUAUGUUGAUGAUUGAUACAAGGUUGAUACAUAUCGAAAAAUUUAUGACGCUUCAAUAUUGCCCAUGAAUGGCCCUGAUUUAUGGCCUAAGUCACUGAAUCCUCCAUAAUUUCCACCUUCUUACUUGAAUAAUAAGAAGAAAGGAAAGAAACAAAAAUUAAGAAGGAAAGAAGAUGAUGAGCCAAGAGCUAGCAGGAUGAAGUUAAAACGGAAACAAAAAUCAGUUGAUUGUAGAAAAUGUGGUAAACCUAGCCACAACAGUAGAACUUGCAGUUUCUCUUCAGAUGACAUUGAAAUUCAUCCGUUGGACUACCUUUGUAGUUUGGACUCCAUCAUGGUCGAGGAAGCAUCAAGUUGCCAAAAUGUUGAAAAGCUACCGGUUAGAAGAGGUACAUCUCAAGCCAGCCAACAACGUCAGAGCUUUCCAUUUUCUCUAUGAAGUUGCAACAUUGAAGAAAAUACAUUUUUAGCUUUGGAUCUUUUUUUUGGAUAUUUGAUGUAUCAAACUAAUGAUAUGUGACUAGUUUUUGUUGUUCA